UACGUAGGGGGCAAGCGUUGUCCGGAAUCAUUGGGCGUAAAGCGCGCGUAGGCGGCCAGAUAAGUCCGGUGUGAAAGUCACAGGCUCAACCUGUGAAUGCCGCUGGAAACUGUCUGGCUUGAGUCCGGAAGGGGCGAGUGGGAUUCCUGGUGUAGCGGUGAAAUGCGCAGAUAUCAGGAGGAACACCAAUGGCGAAGGCGGCUCUCUGGGACGGUACUGACGCUGAGACGCGAAAGCGUGGGGAGCGAACAGG
rnacentral:rRNA from 1 species